ACUCCUACGGGAGGCAGCAGUGAGGAAUAUUGGACAAUGGGCGAGGGCCUGAUCCAGCCAUGCCGCGUGCAGGAAGAAUGCCCUAUGGGUAGUAAACUGCUUUUAUACGGGAAGAAAAGGGCACGUGUGCCCUGUUGACGGUACCGUAAGAAUAAGGACCGGCUAACUCCGUGCCAGCAGCCGCGGUAAUACGGAGGGUCCGAGCGUUAUCCGGAAUUAUUGGGCGUAAAGAGCUCGUAGGCGGUUUGUCACGUCUGCUGUGAAAAUCCAAGGCUCAACCUUGGACUUGCAGUGGGUACGGGCAGGCUAGAGUGCGGUAGGGGAGAUGGGAAUUCCUGGUGUAGCGGUGGAAUGCGCAGAUAUCAGGAGGAACACCAAUGGCGAAGGCACAUCUCUGGGCCGUAACUGACGCUGAGGAGCGAAAGCGUGGGGAGCGAACAGGAUUAGAUACCCUGGUAGGUCAGUC
rnacentral:rRNA from 1 species